AGAGAAACCAAACUGUGGAUCCUAAGCAUCCCUCAGACUCACCCCAUCGCCUUCAAAGAGCACAGGAGAGAGAGAACUUCUGAGGGUGAUGCUGAGGAGUCAGAGGUGGUGGGAUCUCUGGGCCUCCCACAAAAGGUCCUGUGGGAGUCCAGUGGCGCUUUCUGAUUGCGGAGGGGGCCAGGGAGAAGGUCGU